rnacentral:rRNA from 1 species
AUUGAACGCUGGCGGCAUGCCUUACACAUGCAAGUCGAACGGUAACGCGGGGCAACCUGGCGACGAGUGGCGAACGGGUGAGUAAUGCAUCGGAACGUGCCCAGUAGUGGGGGAUAGCCCGGCGAAAGCCGGAUUAAUACCGCAUACGACCUACGGGUGAAAGCGGGGGAUCGCAAGACCUCGCGCUACUGGAGCGCCCGAUGUCAGAUUAGGUAGGUGGCAGGGUAAAGGCCCACCAAGCCUACGAUCUGUAGCUGGUCUGCGAGGACGACCAGCCCAACUGGACUGAGACACGGCCCAGACUCCUACGGGAGGCAGCAGUGGGGAAUUUUGGACGAUGGGGGCAACCCUGAUCCAGCCAUGCCGCGUGCGGGAAGAAGGCCUUCGGGUUGUAAACCGCUUUUGUCGGGGAAGAAAGCUUCCGGGCUAAUACCCUGGGGGGAUGACGGUACUCGGAGAAUAAGCACCGGCUAACUACGUGCCAGCCGCCGCGGUAACAC